AUUGAACGCUGGCGGCAGGCCUAACACAUGCAAGUCGAACGGUAACAGGAAACAGCUUGCUGUUUCGCUGACGAGUGGCGGACGGGUGAGUAAUGUCUGGGAAACUGCCUGAUGGAGGGGGAUAACUACUGGAAACGGUAGCUAAUACCGCAUAACGUCGCAAGACCAAAGAGGGGGACCUUCGGGCCUCUUGCCAUCGGAUGUGCCCAGAUGGGAUUAGCUAGUAGGUGGGGUAACGGCUCACCUAGGCGACGAUCCCUAGCUGGUCUGAGAGGAUGACCAGCCACACUGGAACUGAGACACGGUCCAGACUCCUACGGGAGGCAGCAGUGGGGAAUAUUGCACAAUGGGCGCAAGCCUGAUGCAGCCAUGCCGCGUGUAUGAAGAAGGCCUCCGGGUUGUAAAGUACUUUCAGCGGGGAUGAAGGGAGUAAAGUUAAUACCUUUGCUCAUUGACGUUACCCGCAGAAGAAGCACCGGCUAACUCCGUG
rnacentral:rRNA from 1 species